rnacentral:rRNA from 1 species
GACCUACGGGAUGCAGCAGUAGGGAAUAUUGCUCAAUGGGGGAAACCCUGAACCAGCCAUGCCGCGUGCAGGAAGACGGCUCUAUGAGUUGUAAACUGCUUUUGUACGAGGGUAAACGCAGAUACGUGUAUCUGUCUGAAGGUAUCGUACGAAUAAGGAUCGGCUAACUCCGUGCCAGCAGCCGCGGUAAUACGGAGGAUUCAAGCGUUAUCCGGAUUUAUUGGGUUUAAAGGGUGCGUAGGCGGUCGGAUAAGUUAGAGGUGAAAUCCCGAGGCUCAACUUCGGAAUUGCCUCUGAUACUGUUC